rnacentral:rRNA from 1 species
GCUAUACAUGCAAGUCGAACGAACGGAGGAAGAGCUUGCUCUUCCAAAGUUAGUGGCGGACGGGUGAGUAACACGUGGGCAACCUGCCUGUAAGUUGGGGAUAACUCCGGGAAACCGGGGCUAAUACCGAAUGAUAAAGUGUGGCGCAUGCCACGCUUUUGAAAGAUGGUUUCGGCUAUCGCUUACAGAUGGGCCCGCGGUGCAUUAGCUAGUUGGUAGGGUAAUGGCCUACCAAGGCAACGAUGCAUAGCCGACCUGAGAGGGUGAUCGGCCACACUGGGACUGAGACACGGCCCAGACUCCUACGGGAGGCAGCAGUAGGGAAUCUUCCGCAAUGGACGAAAGUCUGACGGAGCAACGCCGCGUGUAUGAAGAAGGUUUUCGGAUCGUAAAGUACUGUUGUUAGAGAAGAACAAGGAUAAGAGUAACUGCUUGUCCCUUGACGGUAUCUAACCAGAAAGCCACGGCUAACUACGUGCCAGCAGCCGCGGUAAUACGUAGGUGGCAAGCGUUGUCCGGAUUUAUUGGGCGUAAAGCGCGCGCAGGCGGUCUUUUAAGUCUGAUGUGAAAGCCCCCGGCUUAACCGGGGAGGGUCAUUGGAACUGGAAGACUGGAGUGCAGAGAGGAGAGUGGAUUCCAC